rnacentral:rRNA from 1 species
AUGAAAAACUUCUGUUUUUUUUGUGUUAACCUUGGACAAAAUGUUCUACUCCCUCUUCCCUGUAAUAUAAGAACGAAAAAAGGUUCUUAUAUUAUGGGACGGAGGGAGUAUGUGCUUGCAAAAAUUUAUCAGGAACGGGCAUUCCUGGAAGUCAGUGGCAAAAAGAACAAAAUCGAUAUUCCAAAACUGCUAUUUUUGAAAUUAUUUUGGAGUAUUGAUUUUUUUUGCCAUGACUUCCAUGAGUGUCAUUUCGUGAUGAAAAUUUGCAAGCAUAGAAAUAUUUUGUCAAAGGUUACCAGAAAAAUUCAGCACUUUAAAAAAUCAUUUUCUUUUGAUUUUACUGUUCAUCGGAGCUCAUUUGAGCUCGGGAGCAGAAGAACACUUUAG